GGCGGCGUGCCUGACACAUGCAAGUCGUGCGAGAAACCUCCCUUCGGGGGGGGAGUAGAGCGGCGCACGGGUGAGUAACACGUGGGCAACCUGCCCUUGAGUCUGGGACAACCCGGGGAAACCCGGGCUAAUACCGGAUACGGCCUUCGGGACCUCGGUCCUGUCGGAGAAAGAUGGCCUCUGCUUGCAUGCUAUCGCUCAUGGAGGGGCCCGCGCCCCAUUAGCUUGUUGGUGAGGUAACGGCUCACCAAGGCUGAGAUGGGUAGCUGGUCUGAGAAGAUGAUCAGCCACACUGGAACUGAGACACGGUCCAGACUCCUACGGGAGGCAGCAGUGAGGAAUUUUGGGCAAUGGGCGCAAGCCUGACCCAGCAACGCCGCGUGUGGGAUGAAGGCCCUCGGGUCGUAAACCACUGUCAGGAGGAACGAAUUGCUCUCGGCUAAUACCCGAGAGAGUUGACGGUACCUCCAAAGGAAGCGCCGGCUAACUCCGUGCCAGCAGCCG
rnacentral:rRNA from 2 species